AUUGAACGCUGUCGGCAUGCUUUACACAUGCAAGUCGAACGGCAUCGGGGAGGAGCUUGCUCCUCUGCCGGCGAGUGGCGAACGGGUGAGUAAUACAUCGGAACGUGUCGAGAAGAGGGGGAUAACCAUCCGAAAGGGUGGCUAAUACCGCAUAAAUUCUGAGGAAGAAAGCUGGGGACCUAGCGAUAGGCCUAGCGCUUUUUGAGCGGCCGAUGGCGGAUUAGCUAGUUGGUGAGGUAAAGGCUCACCAAGGCGAAGAUCUGUAGCGGGUCUGAGAGGAUGAUCCGCCACACUGGGACUGAGACACGGCCCAGACUCCUACGGGAGGCAGCAGUGGGGAAUUUUGGACAAUGGGGGCAACCCUGAUCCAGCCAUGCCGCGUGUAUGAAGAAGGCCUUAGGGUUGUAAAGUACUUUUGUUAGGGAAGAAAAGUCAGCUGUGAAUAAUGGCUGGUACUGACGGUACCUAAAGAAUAAGCACCGGCUAACUACGUGCCAGCAGCCGCGGUAAUACGUAGGGUGCGAGCGUUAAUCGGAAUUAUUGGGCGUAAAGCGAGUGUAGACGGUUAUUUAAGCCAGAUGUGAAAUACCCGAGCCUAACUUGGGAGGUGCAUUUGGAACUGGGUAGCUAGAGUGUGUCAGAGGGAGACUGGAACUCCACGUGUAGCAGUGAAAUGCGUAGAUAUCAGGAAGAAUACCGAUGGCGAAGGCAGCCUCCUGGGAUAACACCUGACGCUGAGGAGCGAAAGCAUGGGUAGCGAACAGGAUUAGAUACCCUGGUAGUCCAUGCCGUAAACGGUGGGCGCUAGGUGUGGGGUUCCUUCCACGGGCUCCGCGCCGUAGCUAACGCAUUAAGCGCCCCGCCUGGGGAGUACGGCCGCAAGGCUAAAACUCAAAGAAAUUGACGGGGGCCCGCACAAGCGGCGGAGCAUGUGGAUUAAUUCGAUGCAACGCGAAGAACCUUACCUGGGCUUGACAUAUAGAGGAUCGCUACAGGGAUGUGGUUUCCCUUGUGGCUUCUAUACAGGUGGUGCAUGGUUGUCGUCAGCUCGUGUCGUGAGAUGUUGGGUUAAGUCCCGCAACGAGCGCAACCCUUGUCUUAUGUUGCCAGCACGUUAUGGUGGGGACUCGUGAGAGACUGCCGGGGUCAACUCGGAGGAAGGUGGGGAUGACGUCAAAUCAUCAUGCCCCUUAUGUCCAGGGCUUCACACAUGCUACAAUGGCCGGUACAGAGGGCUGCGAUGCCGUGAGGCGGAGCGAAUCUCUUAAAGCCAGUCUCAGUUCGGAUUGGGGUCUGCAACUCGACCCCAUGAAGUCGGAGUCGCUAGUAAUCGCAGAUCAGCAACGCUGCGGUGAAUACGUUCCCGGGCCU
rnacentral:rRNA from 1 species